rnacentral:rRNA from 1 species
CCCUUAGAUGAUUUGGGCUGCACGCGCGCUACACUGAUGCACUCAACGAGUUUACGACCUUGCCCGAUAGGGUUGGGUAAUCUUUUUAAAAUGCAUCGUGAUGGGGAUAGAUUAUUGCAAUUAUUAAUCUUCAACGAGGAAUUCCUAGUAAGCGCGAGUCAUCAGCUCGUGCUGAUUACGUCCCUGCCCUUUGUACACACCGCCCGUCGCUCCUACCGAUUGAGUGCUCAGGUGAAUAAUUCGGACUGCAGCAAUGUUUGGAUCCCGAACGUUGCAGCGGAAAGUUUAGUGAACCUUAUCACUUAGAGGAAGGAGAAGUCGUAACA